ensembl:lncRNA
ACACACUGUCUACGGUAUCACUCAACACUGUGCAAGGAAAACACGGAGCAGACAGCAUGGCAACGGCGGCUCUCGUUUGAAAGCAACAUAAACGGACAUUAGCGUUGGAGUCAUGAAAGGAUCCUUCUGCUCACUCAGAUGAUCUGAGCAACAAGGACAUGAGCUGCCCCCAGCUACUCCGGGCCCAACUGAAUCUGACUCCUUACACCACCAAGAUGGAGACGUCUACCCCAAUACGGAAUCAAGCUCGCCGGUCUUGUAGCUUUGGAGACGGUAGAAGGAGCCCUAGCUUCCCUAUUAUAGGACAGACCGCGGCCCAGAACCAGGAAGAGGAGGGGUCGUCACGACAACGACGCAUAACCAUUGCGUCCUACAUGCCCCAGUCGUCUAAGGACCAGAAUGGAAACUUUGCAGAGAAGGACAACAACGGGCACGGGGCCAAGGCUCUCCCAGGACUCAACACAGAUGAAGUCUGCCAAUGGUUUAGCAGUCUCGGACUGCAGAGAUGCCUCCCUUUCAUCAGAGAGGGACACCUGUGUGGCGCAGAUAUCGCCUCCGUGGACGCCAGCACCCUGGAGAUGCUCCACCUGUCCACGCCCGAGGACCGGGAGCUGCUGCUGUCCAACAUCUACAGAGAGCUCCACCCGCCCAAUAGCCUGACCCGGAGACUGGACUCUCUGAUCGAAACAUUUGGGCCUCAUAACAACGUGGAGAGCUUUACCGCGGCGCUCGUGUCCAUGAGCAAGUCCAUGUCCGCCCCUCACGUGAGCGGCCUCACCGCGAUGCCUUCCUCCCUAAUGCUCAGAGCCAAGAGCAGCAUGGGGCAGAGGAGCACUCAGCUGAUAGAGAUCACCGUUCAUGCAUUAGAGCAAAUCGUCCAUCUGCGUACGCCAAAAGAAACCACAGUGGGGAAGGUCAAAGAGUCCUGUGUCAAGAUGCUGGGCCUGACAGAGGAUACGCACACCUUUACGCUCAAAGACAACACAGGGCUAAGCGAUGGACUCUCAGCCAAUCAACAGAUUGGCAACCUGUUGACAACCUCCAAGAGACAACUGGAGUUGCACCUGUGUAAAAAGGACAAACAAACAGAAGGCGAGACCUCAAAAGUGAACGGUUCUCAAUACAACGUAAACCAGAAUGUGCAGCCAGCGAAAGAGGAGAAGAUCAAGGAACUGAACCAGCAGGUGGACUCUCUGCAACACGUCAUCCUCCAGGCUGGUGGAGGUGAACGGCGUUGCCGUGGUGAAUUCCACCGAGGAAGACCUCCACGGCCUCCUGCUGCAGGGGGGCUCCAGCGCCCAGAUCGUAGUCCUGCGAAGGCCCUCGCUAAGGCCCGCCUCCUGCCAGCCCCCCGGGCCUGUCCAUCAACCGGCUCACCAUGUGCCUCCCCCCGCCGGCUCUCCGGAGGGGGGAGCGGUCGUCAAGGAAACCCCUCCACAGAGGAAGCUGAUAGCCAUUUGAAGAAUUUGUCGUUGUGUGUAAUAUGUGUGUGUGUAGUGUGUAGUGUGUGUAUAUUCGGGAUGUGUUGUGGGUAAUAUGUUGUAGGGAUUGUGUUAUGUUGUGUGUAUGUGCGUGUUCAUGUGGGCCAGAGAGAGAAAGAGAGAGAGAGAGUGAGCGAGCUGAUGUGAGGGGAGACAAUGUGUAGCAGAGUGAGGAGAGAGGAGAUAGAGGGAGAUGGGGGCAGUGAUGGCGUGGUGCUAAGUCCGCAUCAAGUCAAGCUUUAGCUGUCGCUGCCAAAUUAAUAGAGAUAACCUACUUUGUAGUUGUGUUGGUUAAAUAAAAAAGAAUGGUCUCGCCGUCUGUCCAUUUAUUCAAG